UACAGAGGGUGCAAGCGUUAAUCGGAAUUACUGGGCGUAAAGCGUGCGUAGGCGGUGAGUUAAGUCUGUCGUGAAAUCCCCGGGCUCAACCUGGGAAUGGCGAUGGAUACUGGCUCGCUAGAGUGUGAUAGAGGAUGGUGGAAUUCCCGGUGUAGCGGUGAAAUGCGUAGAGAUCGGGAGGAACAUCAGUGGCGAAGGCGGCCAUCUGGAUCAACACUGACGCUGAGGCACGAAAGCGUGGGGAGCAAACAGG
rnacentral:rRNA from 1 species